UCCAUGAGUUGAGAUAGACAAAAGCUGGCA
rnacentral:piRNA from 1 species